rnacentral:rRNA from 1 species
UAAGCGACUAAGCGUACACGGUGGAUGCCCUGGCAGUCAGAGGCGAUGAAGGACGUGCUAAUCUGCGAUAAGCGUCGGUAAGGUGAUAUGAACCGUUAUAACCGGCGAUUUCCGAAUGGGGAAACCCAGUGUGUUUCGACACACUAUCAUUAACUGAAUCCAUAGGUUAAUGAGGCGAACCGGGGGAACUGAAACAUCUAAGUACCCCGAGGAAAAGAAAUCAACCGAGAUUCCCCCAGUAGCGGCGAGCGAACGGGGAGGAGCCCAGAGCCUGAAUCAGUGUGUGUGUUAGUGGAAGCGUCUGGAAAGGCGCGCGAUACAGGGUGACAGCCCCGUACACAAAAAUGCACAUACUGUGAGCUCGAUGAGUAGGGCGGGACACGUGGUAUCCUGUCUGAAUAUGGGGGGACCAUCCUCCAAGGCUAAAUACUCCUGACUGACCGAUAGUGAACCAGUACCGUGAGGGAAAGGCGAAAAGAACCCCGGCGAGGGGAGUGAAAAAGAACCUGAAACCGUGUACGUACAAGCAGUGGGAGCACAGAGCAAUCUGUGUGACUGCGUACCUUUUGUAUAAUGGGUCAGCGACUUAUAUUCUGUAGCAAGGUUAACCGAAUAGGGGAGCCGAAGGGAAACCGAGUCUUAACCGGGCGUUAAGUUGCAGGGUAUAGACCCGAAACCCGGUGAUCUAGCCAUGGGCAGGUUGAAGGUUGGGUAACACUAACUGGAGGACCGAACCGACUAAUGUUGAAAAAUUAGCGGAUGACUUGUGGCUGGGGGUGAAAGGCCAAUCAAACCGGGAGAUAGCUGGUUCUCCCCGAAAGCUAUUUAGGUAGCGCCUCGUGAAUUCAUCUCCGGGGGUAGAGCACUGUUUCGGCAAGGGGGUCAUCCCGACUUACCAACCCGAUGCAAACUGCGAAUACCGGAGAAUGUUAUCACGGGAGACACACGGCGGGUGCUAACGUCCGUCGUGAAGAGGGAAACAACCCAGACCGCCAGCUAAGGUCCCAAAGUCAUGGUUAAGUGGGAAACGAUGUGGGAAGGCCCAGACAGCCAGGAUGUUGGCUUAGAAGCAGCCAUCAUUUAAAGAAAGCGUAAUAGCUCACUGGUCGAGUCGGCCUGCGCGGAAGAUGUAACGGGGCUAAACCAUGCACCGAAGCUGCGGCAGCGACACUGUGUGUUGUUGGGUAGGGGAGCGUUCUGUAAGCCUGUGAAGGUGUGCUGUGAGGCAUGCUGGAGGUAUCAGAAGUGCGAAUGCUGACAUAAGUAACGAUAAAGCGGGUGAAAAGCCCGCUCGCCGGAAGACCAAGGGUUCCUGUCCAACGUUAAUCGGGGCAGGGUGAGUCGACCCCUAAGGCGAGGCCGAAAGGCGUAGUCGAUGGGAAACAGGUUAAUAUUCCUGUACUUGGUGUUACUGCGAAGGGGGGACGGAGAAGGCUAUGUUGGCCGGGCGACGGUUGUCCCGGUUUAAGCGUGUAGGCUGGUUUUCCAGGCAAAUCCGGAAAAUCAAGGCUGAGGCGUGAUGACGAGGCACUACGGUGCUGAAGCAACAAAUGCCCUGCUUCCAGGAAAAGCCUCUAAGCAUCAGGUAACAUCAAAUCGUACCCCAAACCGACACAGGUGGUCAGGUAGAGAAUACCAAGGCGCUUGAGAGAACUCGGGUGAAGGAACUAGGCAAAAUGGUGCCGUAACUUCGGGAGAAGGCACGCUGAUAUGUAGGUGAAGUCCCUCGCGGAUGGAGCUGAAAUCAGUCGAAGAUACCAGCUGGCUGCAACUGUUUAUUAAAAACACAGCACUGUGCAAACACGAAAGUGGACGUAUACGGUGUGACGCCUGCCCGGUGCCGGAAGGUUAAUUGAUGGGGUCAGCGCAAGCGAAGCUCUUGAUCGAAGCCCCGGUAAACGGCGGCCGUAACUAUAACGGUCCUAAGGUAGCGAAAUUCCUUGUCGGGUAAGUUCCGACCUGCACGAAUGGCGUAAUGAUGGCCAGGCUGUCUCCACCCGAGACUCAGUGAAAUUGAACUCGCUGUGAAGAUGCAGUGUACCCGCGGCAAGACGGAAAGACCCCGUGAACCUUUACUAUAGCUUGACACUGAACAUUGAGCCUUGAUGUGUAGGAUAGGUGGGAGGCUUUGAAGUGUGGACGCCAGUCUGCAUGGAGCCGACCUUGAAAUACCACCCUUUAAUGUUUGAUGUUCUAACGUGGACCCGUGAUCCGGGUUGCGGACAGUGUCUGGUGGGUAGUUUGACUGGGGCGGUCUCCUCCUAAAGAGUAACGGAGGAGCACGAAGGUUGGCUAAUCCUGGUCGGACAUCAGGAGGUUAGUGCAAUGGCAUAAGCCAGCUUGACUGCGAGCGUGACGGCGCGAGCAGGUGCGAAAGCAGGUCAUAGUGAUCCGGUGGUUCUGAAUGGAAGGGCCAUCGCUCAACGGAUAAAAGGUACUCCGGGGAUAACAGGCUGAUACCGCCCAAGAGUUCAUAUCGACGGCGGUGUUUGGCACCUCGAUGUCGGCUCAUCACAUCCUGGGGCUGAAGUAGGUCCCAAGGGUAUGGCUGUUCGCCAUUUAAAGUGGUACGCGAGCUGGGUUUAGAACGUCGUGAGACAGUUCGGUCCCUAUCUGCCGUGGGCGCUGGAGAACUGAGGGGGGCUGCUCCUAGUACGAGAGGACCGGAGUGGACGCAUCACUGGUGUUCGGGUUGUCAUGCCAAUGGCACUGCCCGGUAGCUAAAUGCGGAAGAGAUAAGUGCUGAAAGCAUCUAAGCACGAAACUUGCCCCGAGAUGAGUUCUCCCUGACCCUUUAAGGGUCCUGAAGGAACGUUGAAGACGACGACGUUGAUAGGCCGGGUGUGUAAGCGCAGCGAUGCGUUGAGCUAACCGGUACUAAUGAACCGUGAGGCUUAACCU